UUAAAAGUUAAAUGAGUGCACUUUAUUGUGGCUCAAACAUCUUUUAACAUCAACCCAUUUUUUAAACCCAAAGCUGUCUUGUGUGCUUUCUUUAUUGAAAGUAUAGCAUUUCAGUAGUACGCAUCAGGGACAAUUUAUUGUUCAGGUUGCAUUACCCCCCCUUAUAAGUGACCCCCCCAUUUUUUGAAAUCAUUAACACAUUAAAAAGUUUUAAGAAUGUAAACCCCCUUUAAAAUGAAAAUAU
rnacentral:misc_RNA from 1 species